AUAAAAAUAGAUUAAAAGACAAGUUUUAUGAAAUCACUUUUUUCAGAGAGCUAAUGGUUGGUGUGAAUUAGCAAAAGCUUUUAUAAAAUAUCACUUUUUCUUAUCGAAAAAGAAAAGCCUUGGCUUAGUAGAAUUUCGCGGUGGAACCGUUACAACCAACAAAGAUGGAUUGUAGAUAUUUAUAAUCUAAACUAGGAUGGUACCGCGGUAAAAUCGCUCCUUAA
rnacentral:ncRNA from 1 species